UGCCAGGCACAGGAGAGAGUAGUGGACCAGACAGGCCCUGGCUCUGUUCUCACGGAACUUGUAUUCUAGCAGGGGAGACAGCCAGCCAUUUAACAGCUUGUUCCACAUUUGGGAGCUUAGAAAAUGCUACAGAGGAAAAGUGUAGGAAGGUCUUGGAAUCCUGUUGGCAAUCUUCUACAACUUUUCAAACUGGGGCAGCUUAAUUAGAAUCCUGACUUCACUCCUUUCCAUCAGCAAUUUGCUUAAGUUUUGAAAAACAUCAUUAAAACAAAGGAUGCAGUGAGUAUGCCAGAACAUCGAGCUUAUUUGUUUCUGAGACAAGAUCGUGAGGAGGGAAGUGACUUGCAAAUGAUUAAUAGACUUGGUAUUUGGGCUUUGCAGCCUUGAUUUCCAGCCUUGGAGCUUGCAUUUAAUUUUGAGAAAGACCAGCCUGUUGCUGCAGCUUGCAUUUCUGUAUUGGAUCGACCAGCCCACUAGCCUUUCGUCCUGCCCAGCAGAGCUAGACAGGAGGCAAAAUUAAAAGGAAACAUUUGAAGGGCAACUGGACUAGAACAGAAGACUAACCAUGAAUUAAUUUUUUCCCACUUCAUCUUGAACAAUGACAGGCAGUUGGUCUUUUCAUCCCCCCGUGUUCAGCCUUGGCAAGGAUGUGUGCUGUGCAGGUGGCCGAGGCUCCCCGAGUCAGUGUGAGGGCAGAGCGAGAAAUCUGGGAAGAUCGUGAACUCACUGGUGUUGAGCUUCUGAUUUGGAAACACAUCACUUUCUUUUUCUUUUCUUUUUUUUUUUUUUUUUUUUUGGUGAUAGCUUUAUUUGUUAAGGUAGAAUUCACAUACUCUAUAUUUCACCCAUUCGAAAUGUAUAGCUCAAUAGUUCUGUCUUUUCAUAGAGUUGUGCAACUAUCACCACAAUGAAUUUUAGAACAUUUUUAUUACCCCCCAAAGAAACCCCAUACCCUUUAGUUACCUCUGUCCCCGAUAUACCCUCAUCUACCUAUUUACUUUCUGUCUCUAUUGGUUUGCCUUUUCUGGACACUUCAUAUAAAUGGAAUUUUGUAGUAUGUGGUCCUUUAUGACUGGUUCUUUCACCUAGCAUGAUGUUUUCAAGGUUCGUUCCUUCGUACAGUAGCAUUUAUUAGCACUUCGUUCCUUUUUACGGCUGAGUAAUAUUCCAUUUUGUGGCUAUACCACCUUUUGUUUAUUCAUCCAUCCAUUGAUACGGACGGCUGGGUCGUUUCCACCUUUUGGCUAUUACGAGUAAUGCUUCAAUAACAAUCACGCACGAGGUCUUAUGUGGACACGUGUUUUCAUUUCUCAUGAGUACAUACCCAGGAGUCAAAUGGCUGGAUCAAAUUUUCCUUCUUUUUUAACUCAAACACAAACCUUACACCAGAUUAAACGAAAUGACAGCAUUUUGUAAGUAAUAGAGCACUUAUAAAUUUUAAUUAUAACUGGCUUCUAGAAUAUUUAAUCUCCCAAUUUAUCCCAAUAAUGUUGAAUCGAUUUCUAUUAUGUGCUUUGCUCUACGCUGUGAGCCUCCUAAGAUGAGCCCCCUAAUCUAGGGCUUGUUAUUUAUAAAAGUAACUAACUUAUACUGGAUCUUUGCUUUGUGCCAAGCACGAUUCUCAAUGUUUUAUCUGUAUUAAAUCCUUGACUACCACCACCACUGUAUGAGGUAGGUACUAUGGUUACCCUCAUUUUAUACAGAACUUAAGUAACCUGCCCAAGGCCAUGCGGGUGCCAAGCGGCAAAACCGGGUGGUCUUUAUCAACUUACCAUUCUUCCACGCUCCGUCUCUAGCAACAAUAAUAUGCAAGACUUAAGUGUCAUCUGAAGUUCGACAUCCUAGGUUUGCAUGCUGCCUCCCCCAUUUACAGUGUGACCUUGGGCAAAAGAAUCACACUUUUUAAGCCUCAAAUGCCUAAUCUGUAAAGAGAACCUAAUCCAGUGACCUACUUCAUAGAGUGGCUGUAAGCAUGAAGUGAAAUAAACAUAUACCAGGUGUUUGA